rnacentral:lncRNA from 1 species
ACUGCAAUAUCAAAGUAAAAAAUCUAAAAAAUAAAAUUGAAAUUUGAAAAACGUAUUAACGUACUCGUGUUUGAAAUUUGGACUCUUUUUAGUUAUAUCUCCAUAUCUCACGUUUUAAAAAAUAAAAGUUCUGACAUUUAGAUACGUAUUCGUACUUGAGUCCAAGCAUUAUAGGUCAAUCUAAUAUAGAGUUAAAUAGAUGCGUGUAGAGUGAGAGCAAUGUUUUAUCUUUGUUUCUGGUGUAAUGUUUCACCUUGUUUAUCACCUAAAUUUAUUUAAGUAGUUGUGGGUUGCUCGCCUUCUUUUGUUUCUGUUUUGAGCAGACAAGUUGGAUAGAGUCAUAGAGACGAGUACGUAUAGGUCCAUUCUGUUAUAGAGAGAAAGUGUGGGAUAAGAUGUGCACCAAUUAUUUAUUGGCUUCGUAUGAUUUUUCUAUUAUUACUUUUGUCAACUCGCCUGCUGUAGUUUGAAUCCAAAUAUUGGACUCCUCUGCUUUUGGCUGUUGCUUGCACAGGUUUUCAGUGGCUAUGUUUGAUUGCCCAAGGAAAAUGGAAAACAAAUUCCGUUUCCCACUUUUGACCAAAAUUUUCCUCCCAAUUCAUUUUCCACAUUUUCUUCACACGUUCACAAGUUUCAGGCUUUUGGGAAAUUCAUUUUCUNNN